rnacentral:lncRNA from 1 species
GAGUAUUGUGGUGGCGUGCCGGAGUAAAUAACAAGCGAUCGGCCAAUGGAAAUAGUUAGAGACACCUUCGAACAAAUAAUGACCUAAUACCUCGUUGUUGCCAGGUGAGUGAAGUUGCAUUAAAAUGUUUUGGAAUAAAUGAUUUUAUGCUUGGUUGAGCCCCUCGAAAUAUUUUGUUGGUUUUUCUUUAAAAGUUGCAUGGGAACAAGCCCUUGAUGAAAUUUUUUGAUAUUAUGAGAUAUGAACAUGAUGAAUUCAUGAGUUUCUACAAUAUGUUGAUGUGUAUAUUAUACAUUAAAUGAUAUUUUUUGUAUGAUAAUUAUGACCCAGCCAUGAGCGGUGUAGGAGUGCACAUGAGCUGUGCUGACCCAGCCAUGUACGGUGUAAGAGUGCACAUGAGCUGUGCUGACCCGGCUAUGUGUGGUGUAUGAGUGCACAUGAGCUGAGACAAAGUUGAGGGGGUGAGGCCGGUGGUUAUAUAUAUGUUUAUAUAUGAUAUAUAUAUAUAUA